UCAGGCCUAACACAUGCAAGUCGAGCGAUGAAGCACCUUCGGGUGUGAAUUAGCGGCGAACGGGUGAGGAACACGUGAGAAAUCUGCCUUCAACUCUGGGAUAACUCCGGGAAACCGGGGCUAAUACCGGAUAUGAGCCUCGAUCGCAUGAUCGGGGCUGGAAAGUUUUUCGGUUGAAGAUGAUCUCGCGGCCUAUCAGCUUGUUGGUGAGGUAAUGGCUCACCAAGGCGACGACGGGUAGCCGGCCUGAGAGGGCGACCGGCCACACUGGGACUGAGACACGGCCCAGACUCCUACGGGAGGCAGCAGUGGGGAAUAUUGGGCAAAAGGGGAAACUCUGACCCAGCGA
rnacentral:rRNA from 1 species